UUUGUGAAGAUGUGCUUGUUGAU
rnacentral:piRNA from 1 species